rnacentral:rRNA from 1 species
AUUGAACGCUGGCGGCAUGCCUUACACAUGCAAGUCGAACGGCAGCGGACCUUCGGGUGCCGGCGAGUGGCGAACGGGUGAGUAAUAUAUCGGAACGUACCUUUCAGUGGGGGAUAACGUAGCGAAAGUUACGCUAAUACCGCAUAUUCUGUGAGCAGGAAAGCAGGGGAUCGCAAGACCUUGCGCUGAUUGAGCGGCCGAUAUCGGAUUAGCUAGUUGGUGGGGUAAAGGCUCACCAAGGCGACGAUCCGUAGCGGGUCUGAGAGGACGACCCGCCACACUGGAACUGAGACACGGUCCAGACUCCUACGGGAGGCAGCAGUGGGGAAUUUUGGACAAUGGGGGCAACCCUGAUCCAGUCAUUCCGCGUGAGUGAAGAAGGCCUCGGUUG